GAGGGUAUAGCUCAAGUGGUAGAGCACAUGCUUAGCAUGCACAAGGUCCUGGGUUCAAUCCUCAGUAUCUCCA
rnacentral:tRNA from 1 species